UACGUAGGGUGCAAGCGUUGUCCGGAAUUAUUGGGCGUAAAGAGCUCGUAGGCGGUCUGUCGCGUCGGCUGUGAAAACCCGGGGCUCAACCCCGGGCCUGCAGUCGAUACGGGCAGACUAGAGUGAUGUAGGGGAGACUGGAAUUCCUGGUGUAGCGGUGAAAUGCGCAGAUAUCAGGAGGAACACCGAUGGCGAAGGCAGGUCUCUGGGCAUUAACUGACGCUGAGGAGCGAAAGCAUGGGGAGCGAAACAGG
rnacentral:rRNA from 1 species